UACUUUCCAUGGAAAACAUCAACAGUGAAAUACAGGAAUACUGACCACAGAACUGAACUGGUAUCUUAUACCACUGGCCUAUCUGCAACAGUCUGCAGUACUGACAUUGUCACAUGGAGUGUAUUCAUGGUUAAGGACUUACUCUUUAAAUCCCUUAAAAAUUUAGCAUCUAAGAAGAAAUCUACAAUAGAAAAACAGCACCUCUAUUGCAGCAAAAAAUGAGCAGGGGAACAAUUGCAACAAAUUUAAUCCUGUCUGGUAGAGCACUGUCCUCCUCAUGGUUGAAAUCAAUUUUACUGCCAAGGGCUUGGUUUUCUUUCUUUCCUUAGAUAAGAUUACAAAAAAAAUUCAUUGUGUUAUGUGAGAACUGGCAGCAACUUCUAAGUCCCCCAGGUAUACUUGCAUUAUAAUGGAUGUUGUCGUUACUGAAAACCAUGGAAUGAACUGAGAGUAAUGGCACUAACAGAUAGACUAUAGGUACCUUUUUUGUACAGUAGAUAGAUAAAGCCUUACAGCGUAAUGUUCACGUCACUAUUCUGUGAUUUUUACUCAGGAUUGGUCUCCCUGAAGCUGCUUAAAGUUUUUCUGCCAUAAAAUUCUAGUCUCAACACUCCAUCUUAAAUAUUGAAUUAGUUUCAGUUCUGCAGGCAGCUUUUCCUUGGGAAUCUUUGCUUUUAUUUGCUGCAAACUUUCUCCUUAUGUUCUUUUUUUCCUCUCAAUUUUCGUUCCAAACAAUGCUAAAUGUCUUCUCCAUCCAUGUCAUCUUAUGAUGGUUGCAAUGAAAGUAGGUCCAGCUUUCCUUCAAUGUGGAACUAAAAUACACUAUUUAUCAGCAUCAGGAACAUAGUAUUUGUAAUCUUGUAUGCCUUUACCCAAAAGGUGGAUACAAGUUGUGUCUGGGUACGUGCAACAUUAUCACCUGAAAGGACACACUCCUUUUAAUUAACAGCUUUUUAGUAAUAUUGGUCUGCUGAAAAUUUAAAAAUGAAAACAGCUUUUUAAAGACUUCUUUGUAAAGGUACUUUUGUGACAGUUCCACUUACUCAGCGCUGAAAGCAAAAAAAUGGCAGCAGAGUUUGUGGCGGCAGUGCUGCAGAGCUGGCAGCUGCUAUUGCCCUGCAAACUGGAACCCCAUGGCUGGCAGUGACUAGACAAACACACGUGUCGGGGAUCUGCCUCCUCAAGUAUCAGCAAACUGAACAGUAUUUCCCAGAGGUGUAGGUGCACUGAACCUAUGGCUAAUUAUGACUUUUCUGCCAAGACAUAGAAAUAUGGAAGAAAUGAAGAAUUAGUAUGAAGGCUACAGUUUUACAGACAGAGGCCAAAGCACAGUAAGAAUGAUAUUCUCCAGGGAAGGCAAGGUUUUUGUAAGAAAGCUGUGACUAAACUUGUGUUUCUCAAGUGCUGUGAACCAUCCAUGAUAAUGCCAUUUUUUCUCUCCUUUUUGAUAUAAUUGUUGGUAACCUAAUAUGCAGUUUAAUACACCUUCCCUCAUUAAGUUUUUUUUUUGCUUUUGAGAAAAACAAGAGGUUUUAUAAAAACCUUACAAUAUUUCUCCUAUAGGAACACAAAACAGCACAGAGCUAUCUCUGAUCUUCACCUUCUUACCCAUUUAAAAAUGGACCUGAGUCAAUGACAGAAAUACAUCAUCAAGAGAGCUUUGAAGGUUCCAGGGAGUCCAGGAAUGUAAAACAAUAUGCAAUACUGUCAUGUAAAGCACCUCAUUUGUCAAAACAAACAAAAACCAAGUGGAACACAUGCAAAGCUUCACUACAGUUAUGUUGGGUUUUCUUCCCUCUGACCCAUGUGCAGUGUUUUGCAUCAGACCAGAAAACCUGAGCUUCAUAUUCAAAGCAAACAGCAGGGUCAAGAAAACUCUUGGGAGUAGAGGUACUUCUCAGUAGAGAACGUUUCCACAGAAAUGCAACACUGAAGCACUGGUGGCUGGGGGCAGAGUCCACAACUUUCAGGUCUUGCUGCAUAUGAGGAAGACAGACCAUAGAAAGAUGGCAAGAUGAGUUUGUUUCUGUCUCCCAGUAUCCACCUGCUCCACAAUGUAGGCUACACAACUUCCUCAGGGGAUGUAGGAUCCCUCACAGUAUCCAACUGCGUGUAUUUCACCUCCCUGGAAUAGAACCAGGCUCAAGACAUUUCCCAUUGUUUUACCUCUAAAAUGUUACAAACCUAAAGCCAUGACAUUUUGAUGCCUGUUUUAAAACCUACCUGACAUGGCCUAUGUACUUACUAUAUUUAAUUGCUGGCAGAGUUCCAGGUCUCUCGUUUUGGACAGUAUUUUCAUCCCAUUGCUUGCAGAACAUUUCAUAUGCAUAUAAUUUUUGUUGAUGUUCUCUGGCUUUUUUGUAUCCUUGCACUAUUUCCUGCUGCCAUUUCCAGUCACUAACAGUGUGUGCAAUUCCAUAGCUUUCUCUUCCGAGCAAAGUUCUCACUGCUGUACUUUGUUCCCAGCACUAAUAAUUUGGAACAUUAACAUCAAAUUACAAGAAGAAAGUCUGCUUUUUCCGGGUUCUGUUCUGAACUGCUACUAUAUUAGAGACUACCUUGCAGUUGAGCCACAGAUCACUGUAUUUUGACAAUCCAGUUGUGUGUCAAAGGAGUGAUCUCAGACCAGUUCUUUAUCCAUGUCACCAUGCAUCCAUUUAAACCACCUCUUCCCAUCUCAUAAGUCAUCGUGAAAGUGAAAUAUCAAUGUAUUUUCUAUAUUGCGAAACCAUGGGUGAAUCAGAAAUACUGGUACAGUAAAACAAAUCCUCUUUUUUGUAUCAAAAUACAGAAACUUACAUUUACUCCUCAGUGAAUAACAUAUGAAACAUAGGAUAACAUAUGAAAUACAUGUGAUGCUCUACCCAUUCAGUAAUGGGAUUCUGUUCUACUGUCUAUGCUCCAUUAUAGUUGCAUAUUAUGCUCAAUACAUGACCUGUGACACCCUAGCAAACGUCUUUGCUGUGCCUUUCCACCAUGACCUAUUUAAAGAGUUCUGUCAUUUCUACAUAGAGAUAUAUAAUAUGGUGGUUUUGACUACAGGAAAACCUGAACUUCCAGCACAGGUGUUUUUUCACAGAUCCAUGUACCCUUCCAGAUUAUAUCCUUCCUAGGUAGUCUUACAAAAUGCUAGUUAAGACUAGAAAGCACAGGAUAAAACACUUCUUAAAAGAAAGCACAGGAUAUAGCUUUUUAGCUUAAUAAUAGAUCCAACCCACCUACCAACCUCUGUAAAUAUAAUGGAGUAACUUGUCUGAUAAAUGGAGGGAAAAUACCAAAGAAAUAUUUGAUUAAAUAUACAGAAAGGACACAGAAUUCCUCUUAAAGCUAUGUUAUAAUCCCUAUAACUGCUGAGUCAUGAUUCAUAGGCACAAAAGUCUGUGGAGUCUUGGUGCAUGAGCUAAAUAUUUAUGUGUCUAUCCUAACAAUAUUAAAUUUGUGAUGUGCAAGAAAUGCUGAUCCUUCUCCUCAAUGAAAUGCUAAUUCCUGUACUUAAUAGUUGCUUAAAAUUACUGUUUCUCAAAAGUCAUCACUAUCAGGCAUUUUACAGCUUCUCAUUUAAAAACAAUUAAAUGUACAGUUAAGGAACAAAACUUUUGUCAUAUUACAACUCAAUAAUUACCAAAGUAUGAAAACAUUCGAGACAGGCCUACAAUUAAAAUGUUCUGCAGACAGGGAAGGUGUCGUGGGUAACCCAAAAUGCCACUGCAUUCCAUAUCCAUCUGUGCUCAAAAUUGUUAUUGUCUCUUUAAGACUGGUAAAGGGAGUGGGGUGGUACCGCAGGAGCUUUGAAGUCUGCUGGGCAGCAGCUGGUGCCCUUCUGCCACGAGUUUUGUACCUCACUGGGCUCCUGGUCUUUGCUUAGGCAGAGCUCUCUGGACACAUGGUUUGGAUCUUGGUUUCUUGCUAUAGGGCCAAGGCAGUCAGGCAGAGGCUUUUCCUUUUUGGGUUCUCUUUUCGCUUGAAGAAACUGCAGCUCUUGGGUGUGAGCUGCCUGGGCCCCCGCUCCGCGAGAGAAGACUGAAGUUGCCCCAGCCCAGCCACCUUGCCUUGCCUGCUCCUGCUGGCUCCUGCCACAAGGACAGGGAAUUCUGUCCGAGAGUCUCUAGUCCUUGAUCUGGAGAAUACCAGUUGGAGCUCCAGCUGGGAAGAUGAGCAGAGCAGAGUGGGGCAGGGGGAAAGGCUGACACCUUCUUUCCCUAUGUCCUUUGAACCACACCUUUGGCUGAGAAGUGCCAACCUGGCGGGGAUGUACCUGGCGCUUUUGGGUCUGCUAGAUUCAGCAGUUUUGUAUCUGGUGGUAUCUCUUGACUGUUGCUGUUCCUUAUAAUAGUAAAACUGUUAUUUUUUCACUGA